UCAUUAGUCUCGUUGGUGACCAGCGGAGGGAUCAUUACCGAGUUUACAACUCCCAAACCCCUGUGAACAUACCAAUUGUUGCCUCGGCGGAUCAGCCCGCUCCCGGUAAAACGGGACGGCCCGCCAGAGGACCCCUAAACUCUGUUUCUAUAUGUAACUUCUGAGUAAAACCAUAAAUAAAUCAAAACUUUCAACAACGGAUCUCUUGGUUCUGGCAUCGAUGAAGAACGCAACAAAAUGCGAUAAGUAAUGUGAAUUGCAGAAUUCAGUGAAUCAUCGAAUCUUUGAACGCACAUUGCGCCCGCCAGUAUUCUGGCGGGCAUGCCUGUUCGAGCGUCAUUUCAACCCUCAAGCCCUCGGGUUUGGUGUUGGGGAUCGGCGAGCCCUUGCGGCAAGCCGGCCCCGAAAUCUAGUGGCGGUCUCGCUGCAGCUUCCAUUGCGUAGUAGUAAAACCCUCGCAACUGGUACGCGGCGCGGCCAAGCCGUUAAACCCCCAACUUCUGAAUGUUGACCUCGGAUCAGGUAGGAAUACCCGCUGAACUUAAGCAUAUCAAUAAGCGGAGGAACUU
rnacentral:rRNA from 1 species